GCGGACAGAUGGGAGCUUGCUCCCUGAUGUUAGCGGCGGACGGGUGAGUAACACGUGGGUAACCUGCCUGUAAGACUGGGAUAACUCCGGGAAACCGGGGCUAAUACCGGAUGGUUGUUUGAACCGCAUGGUUCAAACAUAAAAGGUGGCUUCGGCUACCACUUACAGAUGGACCCGCGGCGCAUUAGCUAGUUGGUGAGGUAACGGCUCACCAAGGCAACGAUGCGUAGCCGACCUGAGAGGGUGAUCGGCCACACUGGGACUGAGACACGGCCCAGACUCCUACGGGAGGCAGCAGUAGGGAAUCUUCCGCAAUGGACGAAAGUCUGACGGAGCAACGCCGCGUGAGUGAUGAAGGUUUUCGGAUCGUAAAGCUCUGUUGUUAGGGAAGAACAAGUACCGUUCGAAUAGGGCGGUACCUUGACGGUACCUAACCAGAAAGCCACGGCUAACUACGUGCCAGCAGCCGCGGUAAUACGUAGGUGGCAAGCGUUGUCCGGAAUUAUUGGGCGUAAAGGGCUCGCAGGCGGUUUCUUAAGUCUGAUGUGAAAGCCCCCGGCUCAACCGGGGAGGGUCAUUGGAAACUGGGGAACUUGAGUGCAGAAGAGGAGAGUGGAAUUCCACGUGUAGCGGUGAAAUGCGUAGAGAUGUGGAGGAACACCAGUGGCGAAGGCGACUCUCUGGUCUGUAACUGACGCUGAGGAGCGAAAGCGUGGGGAGCGAACAGGAUUAGAUACCCUGGUAGUCCACGCCGUAACGAUGAGUGCUAAGUGUUAGGGGUUUCCGCCCCUUAGUGCUGCAGCUAACGCAUUAAGCACU
rnacentral:rRNA from 1 species